UAUGGCGACCGGCGCACGGGUGAGUAACACGUAUCCAACCUGCCGAUGACUCGGGGAUAGCCUUUCGAAAGAAAGAUUAAUACCCGAUAGCAUAAUGAUUCCGCAUGGUUUCAUUAUUAAAGGAUUCCGGUAAAGGAUGGGGAUGCGUUCCAUUAGAUAGUAGGCGGGGUAACGGCCCACCUAGUCUUCGAUGGAUAGGGGUUCUGAGAGGAAGGUCCCCCACAUUGGAACUGAGACACGGUCCAA
rnacentral:rRNA from 1 species